AAGCGGCCAAGCGAAAGCGUUAAGUAUUCCACCUGGGGAGUACGCCGGCAACGGUGAAACUCAAAGGAAUUGACGGGGGCCCGCACAAGCGGAGGAACAUGUGGUUUAAUUCGAUGAUACGCGAGGAACCUUACCCGGGCUUAAAUUGCAGAUGAAUUACGGUGAAAGCCGUAAGCCGCAAGGCAUCUGUGAAGGUGCUGCAUGGUUGUCGUCAGCUCGUGCCGUGAGGUGUCGGCUUAAGUGCCAUAACGAGCGCAACCCUUAUCGAUAGUUACCAUCAGGUUAUGCUGGGGACUCUGUCGAGACUGCCGUCGUAAGAUGUGAGGAAGGUGGGGAUGACGUCAAAUCAGCACGGCCCUUACGUCCGGGGCUACACACGUGUUACAAUGGGGGGUACAGAAGGCAGCUACACGGCGACGUGAUGCUAAUCCCGAAAGCCUCUCUCAGUUCGGAUUGGAGUCUGCAACCCGACUCCAUGAAGCUGGAUUCGCUAGUAAUCGCGCAUCAGCCACGGCGCGGUGAAUACGUUCCCGGGCCUUGUACACACCGCCCGUCAAGCCAUGAAAGCCGGGGGUACCUGAAGUGCGUAACCGCAAGGAGCGCCCUAGGGUAAAACUGGUGAUUGGGGCUAAGUCGUAACAAGGUAGCCGUACCGGAAGGUGCGGCUG
rnacentral:rRNA from 1 species